rnacentral:rRNA from 1 species
GAUGAACGCUGGCGGCGUGCCUAAUACAUGCAAGUCGAGCGAAUGGAUUAAGAGCUUGCUCUUAUGAAGUUAGCGGCGGACGGGUGAGUAACACGUGGGUAACCUGCCCAUAAGACUGGGAUAACUCCGGGAAACCGGGGCUAAUACCGGAUAACAUUUUGAACCGCAUGGUUCGAAAUUGAAAGGCGGCUUCGGCUGUCACUUAUGGAGGGACCCGCGUCGCAUUAGCUAGUUGGUGAGGUAACGGCUCACCAAGGCAACGAUGCGUAGCCGGCCUGAGAGGGCGAUCGGCCACCCUGGGAGUGAGACACGGCCCAGACUCCUACGGGAGGCAGCAGUAGGGAAUCUUCCGCAAUGGACGAAAGUCUGACGUAGCAACGCCGCGUGAGUGAUGAAGGCUUUCGGGUCGUAAAACUCUGUUGUUAGGGAAGAACAAGUGCUAGUUGAAUAAGCUGGCACCUUGACGGUACCUAACCAGAAAGCCACGGCUAACUACGUGCCAGCCGCCGCCGUAA